CCUCUAACAACCCCUGAACUUGUAAGAUCCUCUGUUGUUGAAAAAUGUGGCUUCCAGCCUCGUGGAGAAAAUACCCAGGUUUACACUGUUGAGGGUAGUGACCAAUGUCUGAUUGGCACUGCAGAGAUUCCUGUAGGAGGAAUUCAUAUGGAUUCUAUCCUUGCUGAGUCAAUGUUGCCUUUGAAGUACGUGGCAUUUUCCCAUUGCUUCCGUACAGAGGCAGGUGCUGCAGGCACAGCAACAAGGGG
rnacentral:misc_RNA from 1 species